rnacentral:sRNA from 1 species
GCCGCUCACGCCCGGUCGUA